CGGGCGGACGGGUGAGUAAUGCCUAGGAAUCUGCCUGGUAUGGGGGACAACGUUUCGAAAGGAACGCUAAUACCGCAUACGUCCUACGGGNGAAAGCAGGGGACCUUCGGGCCUUGCGCUAUCAGAUGAGCCUAGGUCGGAUUAGCUAGUUGGUGAGGUAAUGGCUCACCAAGGCGACGAUCCGUAACUGGUCUGAGAGGAUGAUCAGUCACACUGGAACUGAGACACGGUCCAGACUCCUACGGGAGGCAGCAGCU
rnacentral:rRNA from 1 species